rnacentral:rRNA from 1 species
CCUACGGGAGGCAGCAGUGGGGAAUUUUCCGCAAUGGGCGAAAGCCUGACGGAGCAACGCCGCGUGAGGGAUGAAGGCCUCUGGGCUGUAAACCUCUUUUAUCAAGGAAGAAGAUCUGACGGUACUUGAUGAAUAAGCCACGGCUAAUUCCGUGCCAGCAGCCGCGGUAAUACGGGAGUGGCAAGCGUUAUCCGGAAUUAUUGGGCGUAAAGCGUCCGCAGGCGGUCUUGUAAGUCUGUCGUUAAAGCGUGGAGCUUAACUCCAUUUGAGCGAUGGAAACUGCAAGACUAGAGUGUGGUAGGGGCAGAGGGAAUUCCCGGUGUAGCGGUGAAAUGCGUAGAUAUCGGGAAGAACACCAGUGGCGAAGGCGCUCUGCUGGGCCAUAACUGACGCUCAUGGACGAAAGCCAGGGGAGCGAAAGGGAUUAGAUACCCCUGUAGUCCUGGCCGUAAACGAUGAACACUAGGUGUCGGGGGAAUCGACCCCCUCGGUGUCGUAGCCAACGCGUUAGGUGUUCCGCCUGGGGAGUACGCACGCAAGUGUGAAACUCAAAGGAAUUGACGG